ACUCUCUCUUUCUAAACAAUUCUAUUUCUCUCUCUUCUCAAUAUUUCCUUUCCCUUUCUCGCAUAUCCCUUUAGCCGAUAUCUCUCACUCACAUCUUCUCUCUCUCUUUUUUUCUCAAAUCGGAAAAAGUCAUACAAAGAUCCCACUAUAUCAGGUGUCUACAUUUGUGGUCCCAGAUUUCAAUUAGGGCAGAGCUAAAAGAAACUCCCAAUUUUUUUCUCCAUGACUGGCGAAGGGAGAAUAACAAGAGGAUACUGAUUUUUUUGUGAAAAAUCCACCCAAGCAUGCUCCCCACAUGCAAUGCUACAACAAUAAUGACAUACAAAAAGAUUUGAUGGAGGUUCUGAACGAGCAUCAAUAUGAGAUGUUUUGUGAAAAUUCAUGUUUUGGUCAUUUCAUGAGAAUGCACGAAUGCUAUGUUCAACCACAAAUCUUUCGAUGUUUUAUGGUUCUUGGAACUGAAUUAUAGUUCUCGAAUGGAACUACUUUGAGAUUCACUAUUAGGGAAUUGGCAUUAACAAGCGGUUUAAAUUGUGUGGGUGAUGAAGAUGAUUUUGAAUUCAACACACAAGAACUGAAUAGGUUAAUGAAAAAAUAUUUUCAAGGUAUAGUGCCAGUGAAGAAAAGAGACCUGAUCGAGAGCUUUAAAGGGAGAGUUUGGGGGGACAAUGAUGAGGAUGCUCUUAAGUUCGCUAUCCUUUAUUUAAUUCAUACGUUUGUUUACUCUGGUGAAAAGAAUUGCAAAUCAGUCCCUAGAAAGAAUUUUGAUUUAGUUGAGAGUGGACAGUACAAGGAUUACCCAUGGGGUAAGAGAGCCUUCUAUGUGUUGCUUAAAAGUAUAAGUAAGAAGAUGAACUUUUCGAAGAAGUAUUAUAGAAUUCAUAGUAUGCCACUUGUUAUGCAAGUGUGGCUUUAUGAGUGCAGUUCCAGUGGUGAUUUAAAGAUUGUCCAAAAGCAAGGCAGCCGCAUACCACGAUUGCUCAACUGGAAGACUUUAGAAGCGCAUCCUCUGUAUAAGCCAUUAAUGAGAGAAAUAUUCAGUGACCUUAACAAUCAGUUGAAUUUCAAGAAUAUAACUCCAUCUCCAAGAGAGGUUGCAGUACUCUAGUUGCCACUGGAGGGUGUUGAAAAACAAAUGGAAGAUAAGAUACCAGAUUCAUCUGAUUCUGAUUCCACACCAGAAUUUGACAAAAAUUCAGAUGACGACUUUCAGGAUGUACCGCCACCAACAGCAAAGGAUAAAAGAAAAGGCAAAGUUGGUCCUUCAUUGUCAUCGGCUAAAAAGAGGAUGAAGCAGCUUUUGUCUCAUGUUGAAAAACAGCCUGUUCAUAAGACUGGGGUAUGUCCUGCCAUAAAACAGUUAGGGAAAAAGAUUCAACCAUCAAAGAGUGUGCACAAGCAAUCAGACGUGGCUAAAAAGAAGACUAUCACUCAUAUUUAUGUUCCAAAAAGACCAUCAUCUGACAAAUUCGGUAUCCCAAAAGCAAGUGAAUCGGAACAACAAUCAUUAAGGCAAGAAAUUUCAUCUCUAAGAAAUGAGGCCACUAAAGUGAAGAUCUAGUUAUUCCAGCUAACACCCGAAAGAUAGUUUGAAAAGAGCACCACCAACUACCAUUCAACGAUCCACAAGUAUAAAAGUAUAGGUAGACAAAAAUCGGUUUGAGGCGACAAAGAGUUUGGGUGGAAAUUAUUCAGAUGAGAAUCUGAUGAACUUGAACGACUUACCAUCGAUGGAAAAAUUUUGCAACCUCAAGGCGUCGAUGUUGAGUCUUCGGUUGUCAAUUUUUUGAACACAGAUAUCAUUCAAAGUGAUGCAAUACAUAUAGAGGAACAAGAUGGGCCCGAGGCUGUGCUUUCGGCAUACCAGAGUCUCAGGUGAGUAAUAUAUGAUUUUGACGUACUACUUGUAUUGAUUUCCCACACCGAUGUUAAAGUCCCUUUUAAAGAAAGAAUAAAAAUCAAAAUUUCACAAUUUUUGGAUGAUGAAUAAGUGUAAUGAUUUUAAGAAAAUACUGGUGAUAUCUUAAUCAUGGUAUUUCUUAUCGAGAAGCUCGAGACCUGAAUUUCUGGCACCCGUUAAUACAUAUUUUGGGUUAUUAUUAUUAUGAUUAUUGAGAAGCUCGAGGCGUGAAUUUUGGGCGACCCGUUGAUACAUAUCUUGGGUUACUAUUAUUAUUACUAUUUUAAAAAAGCUCGAGGCGUGAAUUCCGGGUGUUUCAUGAUAUUUUUGAGGAUUUUGAGCCUUAGCUACGAGUUUUCAUUUGAUUAUUCUUUCGGUAUUUUACCAGUUGGAAUUAUUGACGUGCUUACAUAAUUGGUCGGAUUUAUUUGACUACCUAAUGAUUAUUCUUGUGCCCUCUUUCCUCGUAUAUGUAGUUUGUGAUCGUCUCUUAUUAUUAUUAUUAUUAGUAUCAUCGUGCUACUUAUUAUAUAUUCAUCUUUUCUAAGCUCGAUCGGCCUAUGAUACGUACUGGGUACCCUGUAUUUUGGUACUCAUACUGCAAUUCUGUAUCAUUUUGAUGCAGCUCCUAGUUUGAGCCACCUCCAGCGCGUGCUUGAUCAUUCUUAGCGGUUCCAGAUUCGGAUUGUGGUGAGCUCCCGAAGUUUAGAGAUUUGCUACAUUUCCUCUUUUGCUCUGACUUGUAUUUUGUAUUUUGGAUAGUCAGAUCUGUAUUGUAUAUUUAUACAUUUUGUCAGCUUUUGUACUUAGUAGUUCCUGUAUAGGUGAACUAGGUCCGGGAUUUGGUCUAGUGUCAGUUUGUCAUUUUUGGUUACUAUCAGGCCAUCUGUAUAUUUUGUAUUGUAUUUAAAUAUCUAUGUUUUGACCCGACUAUUCUUUUGUUA